rnacentral:tRNA from 3 species
GCGCGUAUGGCGGAAUUGGCAGACGCACCAGAUUUAGGUUCUGGCGCCUCCGGCGUGGGGGUUCAAGUCCCUCUACGCGCA